rnacentral:rRNA from 1 species
UGCAGAAUCCCGUGAACCAUCGAGUCUUUGAACGCAAGUUGCGCCCUAAGCCUUCUGGCCGAGGGCACGUCUGCCUGGGUGUCACAAAUCGUCGUCCCCUAUCCUCCUCUAAGGAUACAGGACGGAAACUGGUCUCCCGUGUGUUACCGUACGCGGUUGGCCAAAAUCCGAGCUAAGGACGCCGGGAGCGUCUCGACAUGCGGUGGUGAAUUCAAGCCUCUUCAUACUGUCGAACGCUCUCGUCCGAAGCUUUAGAUGACCCAAUGUCCUCAACGCGACCCCAGGUCAGGCGGGAUCACCCGCUGAGUUUAAGCAUAUCAAUAAGCGGAGGAAAAGAAACUAACAAGGAUUCCCUUAGUAACGGCGAGCGAACCGGGAAGAGCCCAGCUUGAAAAUCGGACGUCUUUGGCGUUCGA